UAUGGAGAGUUUGAUCCUGGCUCAGGAUGAACGCUGGCGGCGUGCCUAAUACAUGCAAGUCGAGCGAACGGACGAGAAGCUUGCUUCUCUGAUGUUAGCGGCGGACGGGUGAGUAACACGUGGAUAACCUACCUAUAAGACUGGGAUAACUUCGGGAAACCGGAGCUAAUACCGGAUAAUAUUUUGAACCGCAUGGUUCAAAAGUGAAAGACGGUCUUGCUGUCACUUAUAGAUGGAUCCGCGCUGCAUUAGCUAGUUGGUAAGGUAACGGCUUACCAAGGCAACGAUGCAUAGCCGACCUGAGAGGGUGAUCGGCCACACUGGAACUGAGACACGGUCCAGACUCCUACGGGAGGCAGCAGUAGGGAAUCUUCCGCAAUGGGCGAAAGCCUGACGGAGCAACGCCGCGUGAGUGAUGAAGGUCUUCGGAUCGUAAAACUCUGUUAUUAGGGAAGAACAUAUGUGUAAGUAACUGUGCACAUCUUGACGGUACCUAAUCAGAAAGCCACGGCUAACUACGUGCCAGCAGCCGCGGUAAUACGUAGGUGGCAAGCGUUAUCCGGAAUUAUUGGGCGUAAAGCGCGCGUAGGCGGUUUUUUAAGUCUGAUGUGAAAGCCCACGGCUCAACCGUGGAGGGUCAUUGGAAACUGGAAAACUUGAGUGCAGAAGAGGAAAGUGGAAUUCCAUGUGUAGCGGUGAAAUGCGCAGAGAUAUGGAGGAACACCAGUGGCGAAGGCGACUUUCUGGUCUGUAACUGACGCUGAUGUGCGAAAGCGUGGGGAUCAAACAGGAUUAGAUACCCUGGUAGUCCACGCCGUAAACGAUGAGUGCUAAGUGUUAGGGGGUUUCCGCCCCUUAGUGCUGCAGCUAACGCAUUAAGCACUCCGCCUGGGGAGUACGACCGCAAGGUUGAAACUCAAAGGAAUUGACGGGGACCCGCACAAGCGGUGGAGCAUGUGGUUUAAUUCGAAGCAACGCGAAGAACCUUACCAAAUCUUGACAUCCUUUGACAACUCUAGAGAUAGAGCCUUCCCCUUCGGGGGACAAAGUGACAGGUGGUGCAUGGUUGUCGUCAGCUCGUGUCGUGAGAUGUUGGGUUAAGUCCCGCAACGAGCGCAACCCUUAAGCUUAGUUGCCAUCAUUAAGUUGGGCACUCUAAGUUGACUGCCGGUGACAAACCGGAGGAAGGUGGGGAUGACGUCAAAUCAUCAUGCCCCUUAUGAUUUGGGCUACACACGUGCUACAAUGGACAAUACAAAGGGCAGCGAAACCGCGAGGUCAAGCAAAUCCCAUAAAGUUGUUCUCAGUUCGGAUUGUAGUCUGCAACUCGACUACAUGAAGCUGGAAUCGCUAGUAAUCGUAGAUCAGCAUGCUACGGUGAAUACGUUCCCGGGUCUUGUACACACCGCCCGUCACACCACGAGAGUUUGUAACACCCGAAGCCGGUGGAGUAACCUUUUAGGAGCUAGCCGUCGAAGGU
rnacentral:rRNA from 1 species